GUUGCCUUUCAGCAAAGAUGAUCCUGUUUCUCUUUCCUCUAGCCCAUGCCAGAGAUGAACCCAGGGUUUCCUACAUGGAUGUGUUCUACCACCAUACCACAGGCUGUUUCAAGCAAGAACAAGAAUGCUUUUCCUUCUGCAGGCCUGCGAAGGCUGAUCACAGAAAUGCAGGUGCACCGGAUGGGAGAGAGCCCAAAGGAUUUCAGAAGGCAGAGAGUGCUUUCAGGGCAAGGAAGUAGCUUUGGUGGGAUGAAAAGAUUUAUUUGCACAAAAUAAGACAUCUUCUCAAAUUUAUUUGGAAUAACAAAAACCCAGGAUAGAGAAAACUAUUCUCAACAAUAAAAGAACUUCUGGGGGAAUCA
rnacentral:lncRNA from 1 species